rnacentral:rRNA from 1 species
GACGAACGCUGGCGGCGUGCUUAACACAUGCAAGUCGAACGGAAAGGCCCUGCUUUUGUGGGGUGCUCGAGUGGCGAACGGGUGAGUAACACGUGAGUAACCUGCCCUUGACUUUGGGAUAACUUCAGGAAACUGGGGCUAAUACCGGAUAGGAGCUCCUGCGGCAUGGUGGGGGUUGGAAAGUUUCGGCGGUUGGGGAUGGACUCGCGGCUUAUCAGCUUGUUGGUGGGGUAGUGGCUUACCAAGGCUUUGACGGGUAGCCGGCCUGAGAGGGUGACCGGCCACAUUGGGACUGAGAUACGGCCCAGACUCCUACGGGAGGCAGCAGUGGGGAAUAUUGCACAAUGGGCGGAAGCCUGAUGCAGCAACGCCGCGUGCGGGAUGACGGCCUUCGGGUUGUAAACCGAUUUCGCCUGUGACGAAGCGUGAGUGACGGUAAUGGGUAAAGAAGCACCGGCUAACUACGUG